rnacentral:lncRNA from 1 species
AGUAAAUUUUUGUAAUGGAUAUAUACAAAGAAAAUGGAAAUUGUCGUUUGUAUACAAGUAAAGAGUGUAUUUUAAUGGAUUUUUAAAUAAACCAUAUUAUGGUAGAACAUACCAUUAAUGUUCUAAAAACAAUAAUGAGAGAAUGUGUUACACAUAUAACAGAACUUAAAUAACUAUAAACACUUUGUGCAGCUUUUGAAGAUAAUGUGUUUUUGCUAUUUUUAAAUUUUGAAAAAUGCUUUUAUUUAUAAAAUAUUGAACACUAUCAUUCACUGUAUUCAAAUGGUAUUGAGAUAGGAAAUACACAGAUACCCAGAAUCUAUAUAUGUAACCAGUCUGUGCUUCCAAAUAUAUUUGCAAUAUAAUAAUUUUUUUGGAAAUGAUGCUAUCUUUUCUUCAAAUUCCAUGAAUAAAUUCUACCUAAUGCUAACUAACCUUCUCAUUAACAUAUGGCUUUAUUCGUAAUAAUAUUGUUCCCUUCUCAAAAAAUUAUGGUAACAACAAGGCCUAUAACACUAUCUCACUUGAAGUAAAUGGA